GAUCCUGGCUCAGGACGAACGCUGGCGGCGUGCCUAACACAUGCAAGUCGAACGAGAAUCUUUGGAAUGAUUCUUUUCGGGAUGAAUUCCAAAGAGGAAAGUGGCGGACGGGCGAGUAACGCGUGAGUAACCUGCCCAUAAGAGGGGGAUAAUCCAUGGAAACGUGGACUAAUACCGCAUAUUGUAGUUAAGUUGCAUGACUUGAUUAUGAAAGAUUUAUCGCUUAUGGAUGGACUCGCGUCAG
rnacentral:rRNA from 1 species